AAAGUUUUAUUCUUCACUUAAAAUAUUUUUUACACUGUAUAUUUGUUUGCUAGGUCUGCCAUAGCAAAUACCACAGACUAGGUGGCCUAAACAAGAUUUAUUUUGUUCUGGAGGCUAUAAAUCUGAGAUCCAAUUGUCAGCAGAUUGGGUUCCUUUUGAGGCCUCUCUCCUUGGCUUGUAGAUGGCCUUUGUCUCCCUAUGUCCUCGCAUCAUCUUCCCUCUGGGCAUGUGACCCUAAUCUCUUACAAGGACACCAGUCAUUGGUUUAGGGCCUACCCGAGUGACAUCAUUUUACCUUACUUGUCUCUAAAUCUAGUCACCUUCAGAGGUACUGGGGUUAGGACUUCAGCUUGUGAAUUAUGAGAAUUCACAAUUCAGCCUGUAUCACACAGGUAAUAAAUAUAAUCUCUCCAGUUGCCCAACUUCUCUCCAAUUUCUGCAUCUGCUUUGGAACAAGUUGCCAGCAUUGGUUGACUGGACUCCUCUGCUGCCUCCUGACUGACCACCCUACACCUGGUCAGGUACCUCAGAUAUCACACAAGGACAAGAAAAAAGAGAAUUGCAAAGUACUAUACCAACAGAUGGAGAAGGAAAUGGCAACCCAUUCCAGCAUUCUUGUCUGGGAAAUCCCAUGGACAGAGGAACCUGGUGGGCUACAGUCCAUGGAGUUGGAAGAGCUGGACACGAUUGAAUGACUAAAUCACCGCCAUGCAGACAUAAACCACCUCCACCGUGCAGACAGAAGCAGCUGUCAAAGUAGAAAGAUUAAUCGCAUGGGAUCUGCUGUGAGACUAUUUGGGUUUAAAUUCUGGUGCUCCUCACUUACUAUACAACCUUGGCCAAGUUCUGUAACUUGUCUAUGCCUUAGCUUCCUUGUCUAUAAAAUGAAUUUUAGUAACAUUAUUUAUCUUUUUCUUUAUUUUUUUUACUGAAGUAUAGUUGAUUUACACUGUUGUGCUAAUUUCUGCUGUUCAGCAAAAUGACUCAGUUAUACACGUAUAUACAUUCUUUUUUCAUAUUCUUUUCCAUUAUGGUCUAUCCCAGGAGAUUGGAUAUGGUUUCCUAUGCUAUACAGUAGGACCUUGCUGUUUAUCCAUCUAAAUGUAAUAGUUUGCCUCUACCAACCCCAAACUCUCAUUCCAUCCCUCUCCCUCACCCUCUCUGCUUUGGCAACCACAAAUCUGUUCUCUGUGUCUGUGAGUCUGCUUCUGUUUUGUAGAUAAGUUCAUUUGUGCUACAUUUUAGAUUCCACAUAUAAGCAAUAUCACAUGGCAUUUGUCUUUCUCUUUCUGAUUUACUUCACAUAGUAUGAUAAUCUCUAGUUGUAUCCAUGUUGCUGCAAAUGGCAUUAUUUCAUUCUUUUUUUUUAUCGCUGAGUAGAAUUCCGUUGUAUAUACGUACCACACCUUUUUUAUCCAUUUAUCUGCCAAUGGAUAUUUAGGUCAUUUCCAUGUCUUGGCUAUUGUGAGUAGAGCUGCUGUGAAUAUAGGGGUGCAUGUAUCUUUUUACAUUAUAGUUUUGUCCAGGUUUAUGCUUAGGAAUGGGAUUGCUGGAUCUUACAGUAAUUCUGUUUUCUAUAGAACUUCCAUUCUGUUUUCCAUAGUGGCUGCACCAACUUACUUUCCCACCAAUGGUGUAGGAGGAUUCCCUUUUCUUCACACACUCUCUAGUAUUUGUUAUUUGUAGACUUUUUAAUGAUGGCCAUUCUGACUGGUAUGAGGUAGACAAUAUUACCUAUCAUAGGUGAUAUAAAGAUGAGUACAAAGGUGAAAUUGUUAACAUGGUUUAUGUGAAAUACUUAGACAUAUAGGACAAUUCGAAUCUAUCUGGGUAGCCUAGGUUUUUAUUUGCUAAAUCUAGCAACCCUGGAUGUUAGGGAAGAGCGCUUGAGGCGUGAAGGAGAAAGCUGACUUUGGGGAGUAUCACAGAGUUCAGUGUGGCCUAGCAUAAUGGGGCGGGAGAAGGCAAUGGCAACCCACUCCAGUACUCUUGCCUGGAAAAUCCCAUGGACGGAGGGGCCUGGUGGGCUGCAGUCCAUGGGGUUGCUAGGAGUCAGACACGACUGAGUGACUUCACUUUAUUUUUUCACUUUCAUGCAUUGGAGAAGGAAAUGGCAACCCACUCCAGUAUUCUUGCCUGGAGAAUCCCAGGGACUGGGGAGGCUGGUGGGCUGCCGUCUAUGGGGUCGCACAGAGUCAGACACAACUGAAGCGACUUAGCAGCAGCAGCAGCAGCACCAUAAUGGGGUGGCAGAGGUAGAUGUGCAUUUGUAUUUCAUGUGGGGGUGACAUGUGGAGGACAAAAGCAUGAAGCGAAGCUGAAAAAGAGGUGGAAUCCAGGUUUUUUAAGCCUCAUAUUUUAUACUAUGGAAUUUGUACUUUAACCUGCUGUCAUUAGAGAAGCAUUGAGAGAUUCAAGCAAAGCAGUGAAGUAACAAGAAGAGAUGAUUGCAUUAUGAGACUAAUGUGCUGCCCAUUGCACCAAGAAGGUACUCAGAUUAUUGUAUUAAAAGGUCUUUCUGGAGGCAGAAGGGGUUGAAGCCAAGAAGCUGGGGGCAGGCUGACCAGCAGCUGCAGUCUAGGCAAGCAGUCUGGGUAAGAGGAUGGAGGCUUAAUGGAAACAGUGGAGACUUCCCUGGUGAUCCAGUGGUUAAGAAUCUGCUUUGCAUUGCAGGGGAUGUGGGUUCGAUCCCUGAUCAGGGAACUAGCAUCCCACAGGCUGUGGUGUAACCAAGCCAAUGUGGCAACUACUGAUCCUGAAUGAUCUGGAGCCUGUGUCCGUGUGCCACAAAAGAUCCUGUGUGCCACAACCAAGACCCGGUACAGCCAAAGAAGUAAGUAAAGAAAAAGAAAAAGAAACAGUGGAAGAAGAGGAGCACCCAGACUUAGUUACGCUCAGGAGCCCACCUGGCAGAACUUGAGAGCCCUUGGAUCUGUUGGUGGUAAGGGAGAUGGAAAUGUCGCCGGGGAUUCUGAGCCCAGAGCCUUGGCACUCAGAUGUGCUGCCAUAUUAACCAUGGUGAGGCAUAGGCGAAAGAAGGGGUUUGGUGAGAGAGAGUGCCUUCCGUUUUGGGCAUUCAGAGGUGGCAUUUCCUGGAACAGAAGCAGGAGAAAGUUGGGGAUUAGGGGUGGGAACCAUCAUUGUCCAAUGUCGCUGAAGCCACAGGGUCCCUGAGAUUCCCUCUGGGAGAGAAGAACCUGAGCUGAAUAUUUGAAGAACCAGAGAGGGACCUGGGAAGGUAUCACUAAGUGAGGAAAGGCGUAACAAAAGGGGAGCCAGCUAUGAAAUUAGCCAGAGGUUAGGCUGAAAAGAGACCACUGGCUAGCUAGGGUGCUGCUGGUGAUCUUGUGUGUGUCUGUUAGUUGCUCAGUCGUGUCUGACUCUUUGCGACCCCAUGGACUGUAGCCCUCCAGGCUCUGUCCAUGGGAUUCUCCAGGCAAGAAUACUGGAGUUUGGGUAACUGUUCCCUUCUCCAGCAAAUCUUCCCAACCCAGGGACUGAACCCGGGUCUUCUGCAUUGCAGGCAGGUUCCCAGUCUGAGCCACCAGGGAUGCCCCCACUGGCGAUCUUACAGAGAGCAAUUUCAGCCUAGUGUUGCAAAGCAGAAGCCAGAAGGAAAGAUAAAUGCAAAAUGCUUGGGGCCCAGAGAUCAUGCUUUUUUGAACAGAGAAGAGACUCAAAGGAGAGAGACGCUGAGUGAUUAACAAUGUGAUUGUUCACAACUGACCGCAGCUGACAAUUUCCUUAAACUCAUUUUAGGUCAUGUUCUGGAAUGAGAGGCUGGUGCAUGUUUAGCCAGUCUCUCCCCAUUUUGUGACAAAAUCAACUGAUUCUGUUUCCCUCUUCUGAAUAUUCUUCUGAGAAAACAAUUUUAUGCAUCUCUAUAAAUAAUACAUUUAUAUCCUAAGUCAGAAAUUUUGAUGUGAAAAUUCUCAGCUUUUAAUGAACUACUGAAUUUUUCAUGAGACUGUGCAUUGUGGAAAACCUAUUCAAUAAUACAAAUCUUGAGUGAUAAACACAAAAUGUAGAGAAUAAAAUAUAAUUAAGGAGACA
ensembl:lncRNA